rnacentral:rRNA from 1 species
AGUGAACGCUGGCGGCGUGCUUAACACAUGCAAGUCGAACGAGAACGGAAUAUAGCUUGCUAUAUUUGUCAGCUAAGUGGCGCACGGGUGAGUAAUGUAUAGAUAACCUGCCCUUAAGAAAGGAAUAACAGUUGGAAACGACUGCUAAUGCCCUAUAUGCCUUUAAUACAUAAGUAUGCAAGGGAAACGCUUUAGUGCUUAAGGAUGGGUCUGUAUGGUAUCAGCUUGUUGGUGAGGUAAUGGCUCACCAAGGCUAUGACGCCUAACUGGUUUGAGAGGAUGAUCAGUCACACUGGAACUGAGACACGGUCCAGACUCCUACGGGAGGCAGCAGUGGGGAAUAUUGCACAAUGGACGAAAGUCUGAUGCAGCAACGCCGCGUGGAGGAUGACACAUUUCGGUGCGUAAACUCCUUUUAUAUAGGAAGAUAAUGACGGUACUAUAUGAAUAAGCACCGGCUAACUCCGUGCCAGCCGCCGCGGUAA